GGGCUGUGGGGUGGCUGGCCCGGGGCUAAUGUGCUCUACCUCCAGGCUGCCCCCGGCCCUGUGUCCCAGCUGAGCCCAUCUGAGGAAGCGCAGCUCCGACUGGAGAGGAUCUUCACUACUUCUCUGGACCCCGCCGCCUCCGCCUCGGCACCCAGCCAGGCCAAAUCAGAGGAGCAGAUAGCAGCUGAGGAGGCCUGGUACGAGACCGAGAAGGUGUGGCUGGUGCACAGGGAUGGCUUCUCCUUGGGUGAGUCAGGGGCACUGCUGGGACGUGGCAUGCCCUGUCCUUCCCGCGGCACAUCCCCCAUGCAGUGUCCCCAGGGGGCUGCCAGCACGGCCCCACUGAGUACCUUGUGCCCCUCGCAGGCAGCCAGCUGCGGCCAGAGGCGGGCAGUCCCCUGCCUGAGGGCAAGGUGAAGGUGAAACUGGACCACGAUGGAGCUAUCCUGGAGGUGGAGGAGGAUGAUGUGGAGAAGGUAGGGCUGCGGGGCGGGGGGACAGUGGGGCAGAUCCCCGUUCCCA
rnacentral:lncRNA from 1 species